rnacentral:tRNA from 1 species
UCCCUUGUGGCUCAGCUGGUAAAGAAUCCACCUGCAAUGUGGGAAACCCGGGUUCGAUCCCUGGGUUGGGAA